CUUUACACUCGUAGUAACCCAGCUAUGGUGCAUCUCGGCAUCCUCUCUCCUGAAGCAAUUGCAACCUCACCGACCAUGCCGAGGGAGGCGGGGCCUGCAUUGCCAGCUCAUCAAUGAAUCAGCAUGUAAGCAGGCGAAAUUGAGGUAAAGCCUAGAAAUACUUAUGGUCACAGUCGUCUUCUGGAUCCCCAGAGGAGGAAUCUUUCUGCAAAGAGAAUCAGGCCACACUGACUUCUGGCAAGCCACAGCUGCCUCCAAAGCCAGGAGAACCUCUGUAAUAUCUGCUUCUAAGAGACACGGAGAGCUGAUGAAUGCUAAGACCGCACUUUUAUUUCUCACCACUGACCCAGGAACUGAUGUGAUGACAGCUAGAUAUUUAAUACAACUACCAGUGAAGUCAAGAAACAAAAUCUCAGAUGCCUGUGAAAUUAACUACACAGGGUAUGUUGGAUGCCUCUCUCUUCCUGUCCUGUGAAGCCUAGGAUGCAUCCCCAGUGUAGAACCCAAACCUGCCAUGAUUUGUAUCCUCAGGGAAAAGUCUGGACUGCCAGCAGUUACCUCCGGAUGUUUUCCUUCCCAUUUGGUAUGUGGUUUCUAAUGUAUGCUGUGGAGAAUCCUGACCCAUUCUUGAAUCCAUUCCAUGAAUUUUUAAAAUUAUAUUUGGC